rfam:Chaetomium globosum CBS 148.51 scaffold_4 genomic scaffold, whole genome shotgun sequence.
GGGGGGAUGGCGUAGUUGGAACGUGCUGCGCAUGGCAAGUCUUCUGCAUGGCUGCAGAAAUCGUCGGUUCGAACCCGGCUCCCCUCA